rnacentral:rRNA from 1 species
GACGAACGCUGGCGGCGUGCUUAACACAUGCAAGUCGAACGGUAAGGCCCUUCGGGGUACACGAGUGGCGAACGGGUGAGUAACACGUGGGUGAUCUGCCCUGCACUUCGGGAUAAGCCUGGGAAACUGGGUCUAAUACCGGAUAGGACUCCGGACUGCAUGGUCUGGGGUGGAAAGCUUUUGCGGUGUGGGAUGGGCCCGCGGCCUAUCAGCUUGUUGGUGGGGUGAUGGCCUACCAAGGCGACGACGGGUAGCCGGCCUGAGUGGGUGACCGGCCACACUGGGACUGGGAUACUGCCCAGACGCCUACGGGAGGCAGCAGUGGGGAAUAUUGCACAAUGGGCGCAAGCCUGACGCAGCGACGCCGCGUGAGGGAUGACGGCCUUCGGGUUGUAAACCUCUUUCAGCAUCGACGAAGCGGAAGUGACGGUAGGUGCAGAAGAAGGACCGGCCAACUACGUGCCAGCCGCCGCAGUAA